rnacentral:rRNA from 1 species
GAUGAACGCUGGCGGCGUGCCUAAUACAUGCAAGUCGAGCGAACAGACGAGGAGCUUGCUCCUCUGACGUUAGCGGCGGACGGGUGAGUAACACGUGGAUAACCUACCUAUAAGACUGGGAUAACUUCGGGAAACCGGAGCUAAUACCGGAUAAUAUAUUGAACCGCAUGGUUCAAUAGUGAAAGACGGUUUUGCUGCCACUUAUAGAUGGAUCCGCGCCGCAUUAGCUAGUUGGUAAGGUAACGGCUUACCAAGGCAACGAUGCGUAGCCGACCUGAGAGGGUGAUCGGCCACACUGGAACUGAGACACGGUCCAGACGCCGACGGGAGGCAGCAGUAGGGAAUCUUCCGCAAUGGGCGAAAGCCUGACGGAGCAACGCCGCGUGAGUGAUGAAGGUCUUCGGAUCGUAAAACUCUGUUAUUAGGGAAGAACAAAUGUGUAAGUAACUAUGCACGUCUGGACGGUACCUAAUCAGAAAACCACGGCUAACUACGU